rnacentral:ncRNA from 1 species
AUCGUUAGAGGUGGUAAAUUUCGUUGCAACCACGCACCCUAUGGGUUAAAAGAGAUGCAAGAGAUGUGACGCUUGCCUAACGGU